rnacentral:rRNA from 1 species
GACGAACGCUGGCGGCGUGCUUAACACAUGCAAGUCGAACGCUGAAGCUUGGUGCUUGCACUGGGUGGAUGAGUGGCGAACGGGUGAGUAAUACGUGAGUAACCUGCCCUUGACUCUGGGAUAAGCCUGGGAAACUGGGUCUAAUACUGGAUAUGACAUGCCACUGCAUGGUGGUGUGUGGAAAGGGUUUUACUGGUUUUGGAUGGGCUCACGGCCUAUCAGCUUGUUGGUGGGGUAAUGGCCUACCAAGGCGACGACGGGUAGCCGGCCUGAGAGGGUGACCGGCCACACUGGGACUGAGACACGGCCCAGACUCCUACGGGAGGCAGCAGUGGGGAAUAUUGCACAAUGGGCGGAAGCCUGAUGCAGCGACGCCGCGUGAGGGAUGACGGCCUUCGGGUUGUGAACCUCUUUCAGCACGGAAGAAGCGAGAGUGACGGUACGUGCAGAAGAAGCGCCGGCUAACUACGUG